rnacentral:rRNA from 1 species
GAUGAACGCUAGCUACAGGCUUAACACAUGCCAGUCGAGGGGCAGCAUGAUUGAAGCUUGCUUCAAUCGAUGGCGACCGGCGCACGGGUGAGUAACACGUAUCCAACCUGCCGAUAACUCGGGGAUAGCCUUUCGAAAGAAAGAUUAAUACCCGAUAGUAUAGUAUUUCCGCAUGGUUUCACUAUUAAAGAACUUCGGUUAUCGAUGGGGAUGCGUUCCAUUAGAUAGUUGGCGGGGUAACGGCCCACCAAGUCAACGAUGGAUAGGGGUUCUGAGAGGAAGGUCCCCCACAUUGGAACUGAGACACGGUCCAAACUCCUACGGGAGGCAGCAGUGAGGAAUAUUGGUCAAUGGACGAGAGUCUGAACCAGCCAAGUAGCGUGAAGGAGGACUGCCCUAUGGGUUGUAAACUUCUUUUAUACGGGAAUAAAGUGGAGUAGGCAUACUCCUUUGUAUGUACCGUAUGAAUAAGGAUCGGCUAACUCCGUG